CUGAAAGCAACUAAAACAAUCAGGAUGCUUUCCUCUCAGGGACCUAGAGUGAAAUGGUUGCGAGCAGCAGCCUCUUUGGGGAUGUGUGCAGCUAGUCACCUCUAUGGGUUGCCCAAAGGGAAUUUGGUGAUGAUU